rnacentral:rRNA from 1 species
GAUGAACGCUAGCGGCAGGCCUAAUACAUGCAAGUCGAGGGGCAGCAUGGUGUAGCAAUACACUGAUGGCGACCGGCAAACGGGUGCGGAACACGUACACAACCUUCCUAUAAGUGGGGAAUAGCCCAGAGAAAUUUGGAUUAAUACCCCGUAACAUAACGAUGUGGCAUCACAUUGUUAUUAUAGCUUCGGCGCUUAUUGAUGGGUGUGCGGCUGAUUAGAUAGUUGGCGGGGUAAUGGCCCACCAAGUCUACGAUCAGUAGCUGAUGUGAGAGCAUGAUCAGCCAAACGGGCACUGAGACACGGGCCCGACUCCUACGGGAGGCAGCAGUAAGGAAUAUUGGACAAUGGACGCAAGUCUGAUCCAGCCAUGCCGCGUGAAGGAUUAAGGUCCUCUGGAUUGUAAACUUCUUUUAUAAGGGACGAAAAAAGGUCUUUCUAGAUCGUCUGACGGUACCUUAUGAAUAAGCACCGGCUAACUCCGUGCCAGCCGCCGCAGUAAGAC